rnacentral:lncRNA from 1 species
CAUCUAUCAGCCAAAGUGUUUAAACAGUUAAUGUGUGGGCAUAGCGAGUCAACAAAAGGAGAUUCAACUUUUGUUGAAAAGGAACCAGUGACAGCCUAGAGCGCAGCCUUGGUUCAGCUUCUGACAUUCAGGUUGGCAGAGGGCCUGGCUCCAGCUGUCCCUGUGCCCUGUUUGCAAGGAUGUAUAGAAGGUCACUCACAGCCAGCCCCUUUCCCUGUUCUGAUAACAUCGGAGGGAGCUCCCCAGCUGAAAGGCAAUCUCCAGCAAAUCUCAGGCUGGCCAUCAGGCAAGAUCGGAGGACAAAGAGCGAUUGUUGAUGGAGUGCUCCGAUCCUGCAGAAAGGUCAAUCCCAAGCCUUCCUUUCUCCUCUCACCCUCCUGUACCUGAUGCCUCACAAAGUGACCAGCCUGUCAGACAGCCAAGUGUCACUGGCCCCGUUUAACAGAUGAAGAAACGGAAGCUGAGAGCCCCGCUUAAGGUCACACCUCGAGGAAACGUCACACACCACACAAACGCCAAGGCUGCACAAUCUUCACUUCUCCACAUCACUCAUGUGUAGACAAACUAUAUUUUUAGCAUUAAAAAAAAAAAAACCCUCCAGCCCCUCUUUCAAGCCCUGAUGAUAGCUUUCCCCUUCUUGACAUCAAGUAUGUUACACCACAGUAAAUAAAGGGACUCAGGAAA